UAGGGAAUCUUCCGCAAUGGGCGAAAGCUUGACGGAGCAACGCCGCGUGAGUGAUGAAGGUCUUCGGAUCGUAAAACUCUGUUAUUAGGGAAGAACAAAUGUGUAAGUAACUAUGCACGUCUUGACGGUACCUAAUCAGAAGGCCACGGCUAACUACGUGCCAGCAGCCGCGGUAAUACGUAGGUGGCAAGCGUUAUCCGGAAUUAUUGGGCGUAAAGCGCGCGUAGGCGGUUUUUUAAGUCUGAUGUGAAAGCCCACGACUCAACCGUGGAGGGUCAUUGGAAACUGGAAAACUUGAGUGCAGAAGAGGAAAGUGGAAUUCCAUGUGUAGCGGUAAAAUGCGCAGAGAUAUGGAGGAACACCAGUGGCGAAGGCGACUUUCUGGUCUGUAACUGACGCUGAUGUGCGAAAGCGUGGGGAUCAAACAGG
rnacentral:rRNA from 1 species